UAGCAAUAACAACACACACAUUAACGUCUGCUGCUUUUGUCCUACUCAGGUGUUUAUUCACACUUCAGACUCGAGCCCUUGGGACUGACUCGGGUUCCGGACGACUAACGAACUUUACCUGAAACAGGCUGAAAAUGUGACGGAGUUUCCCUCGAGGGCAAAAACACAAAGACUGUGAUGCAUUUCAAACUGAGCUGCAACACAACACCGAGAACUCACAACCUUCCAGACACAGAAGACCUGAGGAGCUUCACUCAGCUGCUGUGUUCAUGUCUGAACAUGUCCAGGACACGUGUUAGUGGUCACACGACUGGCGUGUGAGAGAUAUUUCCAGCAUGGUGCAGUAAUGUGUCAUACACCUACAACACACGGCCUGAUCCCUGACAGGGGCGAGGCUGAGCAAACACCAGCUCUGACUCUCUGACGCCUUCAUUGCUCCUAAAAGCCAAAGAAAAACAUCUCAGAACACAACAAAAUGCACAGUCACAGAGGAGGAGGAGCUCCGGCAGCAGAAGACCACGUCAGGAUCCACUUCAGUGUGCAAAAGCAGGAAUCUGAGACCAUCAUGAGCUCAGGCUCACCCACACUGGACCUCUGAAGAACAGAAAAUAAUACCUCUUCAGCUCUUCCAGUCAUGUGUGUGUCGUUUAAAUCUCAUGAGCAGUGAAUAAUGAAACUUACUUGACUUAAGGACGUGAAAGGAAAAAAAAACAAUCAUGAUGAUGUCAUAAUACUAAAUCACAAGUCACCAGGAAGCUAUGAAUAGAACAAGAAAAGCUUCCAGGAAUAGAAGAAAACACACAAUGAGCUGCAAACACACACUGUUAUUGUUUUAUAAUUUACAGAAAGUUUUAUAACAUCUGAAAGAAGUGACAUAAAGAAGUUACAACAGUUACAGUUUAUAUAAACAUGAUUGGGUUUAUGAGAUGUAAUAAAGGCUUACAGAAGGUUUUAUAUCAAAUUUUAUGAACACUCAUGUUAAAGAACA